rnacentral:siRNA from 1 species
AGGGGCCAAGGCCAAAUGAGUUGA